GACGAACGCUGGCGGCGUGCUUAACACAUGCAAGUCGAACGAAGUGGCGAACGGGUGAGUAACGCGGAAGCAACCUGCCCGUCAGAGGGGGACAACAGUUGGAAACGACUGCAAAUACCGCAUAAGGAAGGAGGGGAUUGAGUCGGAUUAGCUAGUGGGAGGGGUAACGGCCCACCAAGGCGAUGUUCAGUAGCCGGUCUGAGAGGAUGAUCUGCCACAUUGGGACUGAGACCCGGCCCAGACUCCUACGGGAGGCAGCAGUGGGGAAUCUUCCGCAAUGGACGAAAGUCUGACGGAGCAACGCCGCGUGAGUGAUGACGGCCUUCGGGUUGUAAAGCUCUGUUAAUCGGGACGCGGUACCUGACUAGAAAGCCACGGCUAACUACGUGCCAGCAGCCGCGGUAAUAC
rnacentral:rRNA from 1 species